rnacentral:rRNA from 1 species
CCUACGGGGGGCAGCAGUGGGGAAUAUUGCACAAUGGGGGAAACCCUGAUGCAGCGACGCCGCGUGAGUGAAGAAGUAUUUCGGUAUGUAAAGCUCUAUCAGCAGGGAAGAAAAUGACGGUACCUGAUUAAGAAGCCCCGGCUAACUACGUGCCAGCAGCCGCGGUAAUCCGUAGGGGGCAAGCGUUAUCCGGAUAUACUGGGUGUAAAGGGAGCGUAGACGGCAGCACAAGUCUGGAGUGAAAUGCCGGGGGUUAACCCCGGAACGGCUAUGGAAACUGGGCAGUUAGAGUGCAGGAGAGGUAAGUGGAAUUCCAAGGGUAGCGGUGAAAUGCGUAGAUAUUAGUAGGAACACCAGUGGCGAAGGCGGCUUACUGGACUGAAACUGACGUUGAGGCUCGAAAGCGUGGGGAGCAAACAGGAUUAGAUACCCCAGUAGUC